GCAUUGGUGGUUCAGUAGUAGAAUUUUCAGCUUUCCAUGCGAGAGAACCAGGUUUGAUUCCCGGCCAGUGCA
rnacentral:tRNA from 1 species